rnacentral:rRNA from 1 species
UACAGAGGUCUCAAGCGUUGUUCGGAUUCAUUGGGCGUAAAGAGUGCGUAGGCGGCGCGGUAAGUCGGGUGUGAAAUCUCGGAGCUUAACUCCGAAACUGCAUUCGAUACUGCCGUGCUUGAGGACUGGAGAGGAGACUGGAAUUUACGGUGUAGCGGUGAAAUGCGUAGAUAUCGUAAGGAAGACCAGUGGCGAAGGCGGGUCUCUGGACAGUUCCUGACGCUGAGGCACGAAGGUCAGGGGAGCAAACGGG